rnacentral:misc_RNA from 1 species
AGAGAUUUAGUAUAAGGCACAAGGCCAAAUUACAUACCAACAGAAACAAGGCCAAAAACACUAAAAGGAGACAAAAACUAAGGCCUAGCCCUAUAACGCAUACAAGAACAAAGGAUUAAAAUCCCCACAUCCUAUAACCCUAGCAUAACCAAGGUUGGAAGCAACUGUCUUCAAGCAUCGCUACUUGCUUCACUAUGUGGAAGAGAGAAUAGGGAUCCCAAUAUUGAAACAGCCUCCAUGCAUCAGGAAACCAAGCUUCCAAAGAAUAACAAGCAUCUCAACCAUAAAAGCAUAACACCUUUUCAGCAAUUUAUAAGGAGGGCAAAUGACAAAGCUCCUAUAGCAUGCAAGCCUUAAAGGUUAAUGACCUUUAGAGAAGUUGGCAAAGAUAACUUAGAGAUACCAUUCUCAAGCUAAAACUUCAAUGCUCUUUCUCAUAGGUAGGCCAAUCCAUAAACAAG